GACGAACGCUGGCGGCGUGCUUAACACAUGCAAGUCGAACGGAAAGGCCCCUUUGGGGGUACUCGAGUGGCGAACGGGUGAGUAACACGUGAGUAACCUGCCCUUGACUUCGGGAUAACUUCAGGAAACUGGGGCUAAUACCGGAUAGGAAUCCUUGCUGCAUGGUGGGGGUUGGAAAGCUUCGGCGGUUUUGGAUGGACUCGCGGCUUAUCAGCUUGUUGGUGGGGUAGUGGCUUACCAAGGCUUUGACGGGUAGCCGGCCUGAGAGGGCGACCGGCCACAUUGGGACUGAGAUACGGCCCAGACUCCUACGGGAGGCAGCAGUGGGGAAUAUUGAACAAUGGGCGGAAGCCUGAUGCAGCAACGCCGCGUGCGGGAUGACGGCCUUCGGGUUGAAAACCGCUUUCAGCAGGGGCGAAGCUUGUGGUGACGGUACCUGCAGAAGAAGCACCGGCUAACUACGUG
rnacentral:rRNA from 1 species